rnacentral:lncRNA from 1 species
AGGCAGGCCAACAUUUGAAUUCAGGAAAUACAGAGAAUGCCACAAAGAUACUCCUCGAGAAGAGCAACUCCAAGACACAUAAUUGUCAGAUUCACCAAAGUUGAAAUGAAGGAAAAAAUGUUAAGGGCAGCCAGAGAGAAAGGUCAGGUUACCCACAAAGGGAAGCCCAUCAGACUAACAAUGGAUCUCUCCGCAGAAACUCUACAAGCCAGAAGAGGGUGGGGGCCAAUAUUCAACAUUCUUAGAGAAAAGAAUUUUCAACCCAGAAUUUCAUAUCCAGCCAAACUAAGCUUCAUAAGUGAAGGAGAAAUAAAAUCCUUUACAGACAAGCAAAUGCUGAGAGAUUUUGUCACCACCAGGCCAGCCCUAAAAGAGCUCCUUAAGGAAGCACUAAACAUGGAAAGGAACAACCAGUACCAGCCACUGCAAAAACAUGCCAAAUUGUAAAGACUAUCAAGGCUAGGAAGAAACUGCAUCAACUAACGAGCAAAAUAACCAGCUAACAUCAUAAUGAAUACUUGGCAAUCUAUGUUGAACAAAUGAAUGAAUAAAUCCUGGAGCCAUUUUGUAUUUAGCUUUAUAAGAUACUAGAUCCUGAAAAGAUCAGCUUUUCAUUUAUUGUAUUGACCACUCAGUUUUCUUCCUCUAGGAAUUGUCUUGUUUCUCAUUUUCUGGUUGGGUUGUUUGGUGUUUUCUCUUAGUGUUUUGUAAGAAAUUUUAUAUCUUGGCUUGUAAUACUUUAUUUGUUACAUGGUUUACAAAUAAUAUCUGUAGUUGGCUUUUUUCACUUUGUUUUGGGCAUAUUUUGCCAUACAGAAGAUUUAAUUUUAUUUUCCCCCAGCUUUAUGGAGAUAUACUUUACAAAAAUAUAUAAUAUAUAUGUAUUUAUGGUAUACAAUAUGUGAUAUUUUAAUAUACAUAUACAUUUUUAAAAAAUUUUCCGGCAGGAGACCUGCCAGGGCAAAUUUCAUGAUAUUUUCUUGGCUUGUGAGUUCUCAGAUCAAUGACAGUAGUAUAAAUUUGAACCACACAUAUUCAUUACAAAAUGGAACUUUUCAUCAUUUGUUCUCAAAGCUACUCUUUCUCUGAUUUUGUGUAAACUGUAAGCCACUAUGUAAAAUAAGGUAUCCCUGUAUACCUAUUGCAUUUGAUGGCUCAGACAGUAUAGGAACUGACCGCUAUAUCUCACAUAAGCACAGUACAGCUUGUGUUGGCUCAGCUGGUACCAGGGUCAACUGGAAUCAGGGAUGCUACUGUGGCCGGGACAUUCCCCUGCUUGGUCUCUUGGGUCUCUGCUUUUUUCAGUAUGUUCAAUUCUUUCUAUGUUACCACGCAUUUCAGAACAAUUCUAAUAUGAUGUUGUCCUUCCAAUAAAACAUUGCUCAUCACAAUAAAAAAUGAUAAAGGGGAUAUCACCACUGAUCCCACAGAAAUACAAUCUACCAUCAGAGAAUACUACGAACACCUCUACGCAAAUAAACUAGAAAAUCUAGAAGAAAUGGAUCAGUCAUAGAAGACUGGUUGGCUGAUACGCCUCACCCUCAGUUAGGGGUGUCAUCUGGGUGAUUCUAGGCCAUCAGUAAUGCAACCAAAGAAAAUAACAUUUGAAGUUACAAAUAGAAAUCAGACACAAUUUUUCUGAUUCUCAGGACUCUGUGGCGUGACUCAAUUUGUUUUGCAAAACUUCUGUCAGUGGUGCGAUGAUAAAAUUCAGUUCAAUUCAAGGACAAGCCAUCAAAACAUUCCCUUUCAGGGAGGGGAUUUUAUCUUAUCCUCUACUAAAGUACUAAAUUAGUUGAAACUCUAAAUUAUCAUAGCUUGUCUAAAAGUCACACUAACUCAAUGCACUAUUUAUUUUCCAAAUACCUGCACAUUUCUUACAUCAUAACCCUCAUGAGUCAUAAAGAAUGUAUUUACUAUGAAAAAUAUUAGAAUACAAAGAAAAUAAGUCAGUAUGUCCCACUUUACCAAUGAAUACACAACAGGUGAUUUGCUCUCAUAAGCUUCCUGAGUUCAGAUCAGAAAGGUGACAGUUUUAACCUUUGGAUACUUCCUAAUUAUGCAAAAUGCUUGUAGUCCUUGCAAAUGAGAGAAUAAAAUGAUCCCUUUGGUCAGAAGAAGGCAGAGCUUCCACAUAAAGGUAGUUUUCUGGAUGUUAAUAUUUGGAGAGAGGUUUACCUUUUGGUGGUCUAGAUCAUUAGCCCUUUUUGGAGUCAAUUUCUUUUAUAUUUAAUUGACCAUACAGCAGAUAUGAUUAGAAUCCUCCCCAAAAUAUUUCCCAACUGAGAGCCACACUAAGUUAGCCAGCUUUCUAUAGACAUUUUUUUACCUGAAUGUUCCACAGUUUUCUCCAUCUCAAUCAACAUCAAACUAAGUCCUCAUUCCCUAUGCACCACACUUCUUCUCCAAGGUCACUUUAAAAACAUCUUCCUAUAAUUCUGAGAACAUGUAACUGUUGAUACUAAAAUUCAUCAUAACACUACCCUCUGUGUGUUCCAGGGAACAAGAUUAGGUCUGAGAAUUUGAAAUGCUACAAUGCUUGCUUCUGAAAUACUUCUAUCUCAAGCAAUUUUAGUAUGGGGC